rnacentral:rRNA from 1 species
UACGUAGGGGGCUAGCGUUGUCCGGAAUCAUUGGGCGUAAAGAGCGUGUAGGCGGCCAGGUAGGUCUGCUGUGAAAACUCGAGGCUCAACCUCGAGACGUCGGCGGAAACCAUCUGGCUAGAGUCCGGAAGAGGAGAGUGGAAUUCCUGGUGUAGCGGUGAAAUGACGCAGAUAUCAGGAAGAACACCCGUGGCGAAGGCGGCUCUCUGGGACGGUACUGACGCUGAGACGCGAAAGCGUGGGGAGCGAACAGG